rnacentral:lncRNA from 1 species
UGAAGGGAGUAGGGAAUUCAGAACCGGCUUCCUUCCCGUCACCAUGGACACCCAGUCCGUGUACAGGGGGCGGGGCUUCGGAGGGGCGGGGUGAGGCUCCACAGGAGAGGGGAGGGCAAGACCAGCCCAGAGUCAAGCAGUCCCUGCUGGGAUUGCGACCCUGCUGUCUCAGCGCCCUUGCCUGGGAUCCCUGGGUUCAGGGCCUGUCCCAUUCCAGCUGGCGACGUGACAGAUCCAAUGAAUUCACCAGUGAACUGGGGACACCUCCUGACUGCACAGGGCGGAUAGUGGGAUGGAGGAGGGAGGCAGGCGGGGGCUGAGGAGGAAUUCCCAAGGAUGUCAAGACGGUGGGGAGCCGCAUGACGUCACAGAUGCCUCGUUGAGACGCACCCUGAGCAUCAGCCUGGAUUGGCGGGCGGCAGCACGGGCAGGAUAGACGCCAGGUCGUCAGGACCCGCCGCUGGAUGGAGUCUGUGGGGAGGGAAGCUCUCCGCUCUCGCUCUUCUCCUACCUCUUCUUUCCCGACCCCCUCAGAGUCCACCUGCUGAAGAGGCCGCCCGCCCCGCCCCUCCUCUGGGUCUCAGCACAGACUCAAGUCCUCACCUUCCCGCCAGCAUCCUCCUUCCUCACCCUGGGGGCAGGUCAAGAAGGAGAGAUCAACAAGAUGAGCCCUUGGGGUUUGGGAAGGAAAUGCCAAAAUCCACGUGGUCAGGGUGAAGUGAAAACAGGAAACACUUCACAAGGACGAGCAAUAUCGUGAGCUCAGGGACCCUAAAAACUGUUAUGGAAAUCCCAGAAAGCCUAGGGAACUCUGGCUGACAAGGGGAAUGGAAGCGUAGAUGCGAAGGAGAGCACUGUGCCGAGAAUCCUGGCAGAACAGCAGAGCAGAAAGAGAAAACCCCGGAAUGGGCAGUUAUCACAUCUUUCUAGGAAUUUUUACAGUGUUGAGAAAGAGCAGAGCUUUCCCUUCCCAGAUGGAACAGCGCUCACAUGGGCAGAGGCUGGAUGGACAACUGAGAGAGCUGCAUCAGAGCAAGGGCGCACUGCACGCAGCACAAGUCAGAGAGGAAAAUGUAGAUCAAUCUUUGGAGCAAAGCUCAGCGCCCUAGGGCGCCUCGUCAUCAGAAGUUCUGGAUCUGCGAGAGGAUGAGAGAAAGGCGUCCUCACCCCUGACAGCCAUGUUUGGUGCGUUUUCUUCUCCACAACAGCAGAAGAAUAAGCAUGCUUCUCCUCCGAGCAGAUCCAGUUACCCUGAACAUUCAUGUCCCUUUGCUUGGCGUCUUCCAAAAAAGGCAAAUGUGGAAAGGCCUCGUGAAGUUUUUCUCUCCAACAUUUAAUUAUGGAAAUUUCAAAACACAAUGGAAAUAUGAAAUAAUUUUUUAUUUAACCCCAUAUUCCCACAGUGUUGAUUCUACCAUUAACAUUUGAAUGUACUUGC